AGGCUCCGUCUUUCUGGCUUGUGGGGGAAGUGCAUAGGCCCCAGAUGGCCUGACUUUGUCCAUGUCCUCUGGAGUAGACUACUUCCUGCCCUCUGGGUAUUGGGUGCCACUAGUCUCACUGUGCAGUUGUCGUGCACUGUGAGCUGAGGAACAGGCCAUGGGGAAGCCACCCUGUGACUCUCAGCACUGCACUGUGACAGGAAUGGCAAGCAGGGCUGCUGGUGACUCCCUGGGAAGAGGACAAGCCUCCCCCCCACAUACCUAUUGGCAGUGAGUCUCGGGAUCUGCGCCAGCUCAUCUCAGGGUAAGUUCUGUUUGCAGAAACUCCUUUCUUGAUACAGGACAUUUCUGCCUAGGGUCUGGGCCUUGUGGCCAGCCCAACACAUUCCAGG
rnacentral:lncRNA from 1 species